UGGAGGAAUACCCAAGUCCGGCUGAAGGGAUCGGUCUUGAAAACCGACAGGGGCUUAACGGUUCGCGGGGGUUCGAAUCCCUCUUCCUCCGU
rnacentral:tRNA from 1 species